UACGUAGGGGGCAAGCGUUGUCCGGAAUCAUUGGGCGUAAAGAGCGUGUAGGCGGCUUGGUAAGUCCGCUGUGAAAGUCCAGGGCUCAACCCUGGAAUGCCGGUGGAAACUGUCAGGCUCGAGUCCGGAAGAGGCGAGUGGAAUUCCUGGUGUAGCGGCGAAAUGCGCAGAUAUCAGGAGGAACACCAAUGGCGAAGGCAGCUCGCUGGGACGGUACUGACGCUGAGACGCGAAAGCGUGGGGAGCAAACAGG
rnacentral:rRNA from 1 species